AACGAACGCUGGCGGCAUGCCUAACACAUGCAAGUCGAACGAGACCUUCGGGUCUAGUGGCGCACGGGUGCGUAACGCGUGGGAACCUGCCUUUAGGUUCGGAAUAACUCUCCGAAAGGGGUGCUAAUACCGAAUAAUGUCUUCGGACCAAAGAUUUAUCGCCUUUAGAUGGGCCCGCGUUGGAUUAGCUAGUUGGUGGGGUAAAGGCCUACCAAGGCGACGAUCCAUAGCUGGUCUUAGAGGAUGAUCAGCCACACUGGGACUGAGACACGGCCCAGACUCCUACGGGAGGCAGCAGUGGGGAAUAUUGCACAAUGGGCGAAAGCCUGAUGCAGCGACGCCGCGUGAGGGAUGACUGCCUUC
rnacentral:rRNA from 1 species